GAUGAACGCUGGCGGCGUGCCUAAUACAUGCAAGUCGAGCGAACAGACGAGGAGCUUGCUCCUCUGACGUUAGCGGCGGACGGGUGAGUAACACGUGGAUAACCUACCUAUAAGACUGGGAUAACUUCGGGAAACCGGAGCUAAUACCGGAUAAUAUAUUGAACCUCAUGGUUCAAUAGUGAAAGACGGUUUUGCUGUCACUUAUAGAUGGAUCCGCGCCGCAUUAGCUAGUUGGUAAGGUAACGGCUUACCAAGGCAACGAUGCGUAGCCGACCUGAGAGGGUGAUCGGCCACACUGUAACUGAGACACGUUCCAGACUCCUGCGGGAGGCAGCAGUAGGGAAUCUUCCGCAAUGGGCGAAAGCCUGACGUUGCAACGCCGCGUGAGUGAUGAUGGUCUUCUGCUCGUUAAACUCUGUUAUUAUGGAAGAACAAAUGUGUAAGUAACUAUGCACGUCUUGACGGUACCUAAUCAGAAAGCCACGGCUAACUACGUG
rnacentral:rRNA from 1 species